UUAAGUUAUUAAGGGCGCACGGUGGAUGCCUUGGCACUAGAAGCCGAUGAAGGACGUUACUAACGACGAUAUGCUUUGGGGAGCUGUAAGUAAGCUUUGAUCCAGAGAUUUCCGAAUGGGGAAACCCAGCAUGAGUUAUGUCAUGUUAUCGAUAUGUGAAUACAUAGCAUAUCAGAAGGCACACCCGGAGAACUGAAACAUCUUAGUACCCGGAGGAAGAGAAAGAAAAUUCGAUUCCCUUAGUAGCGGCGAGCGAAACGGGAAGAGCCCAAACCAAAAAGCUUGCUUGUUGGGGUUGUAGGACACUCUAUACGGAGUUACAAAGGACGACAUUAGACGAAUCAUCUGGAAAGAUGAAUCAAAGAAGGUAAUAAUCCUGUAGUCGAAAAUGUUGUCUCUCUUGAGUGGAUCCUGAGUACGACGGAGCACGUGAAAUUCCGUCGGAAUCUGGGAGGACCAUCUCCUAAGGCUAAAUACUCUCUAGUGACCGAUAGUGAACCAGUACCGUGAGGGAAAGGUGAAAAGCACCCCGGAAGGGGAGUGAAAUAGAACCUGAAACCGUGUGCUUACAAGUAGUCAGAGCCCGUUAAUGGGUGAUGGCGUGCCUUUUGUAGAAUGGACCGGCGAGUUACGAUUUGAUGCAAGGAUAAGCAGUAAAUGUGGAGCCGUAGCGAAAGCGAGUCUGAAUAGGGCGUUUAGUAUUUGGUCGUAGACCCGAAACCAGGUGAUCUACCCUUGGUCAGGUUGAAGUUCAGGUAACACUGAAUGGAGGACCGAACCGACUUACGUUGAAAAGUGAGCGGAUGAACUGAGGGUAGCGGAGAAAUUCCAAUCGAACCUGGAGAUAGCUGGUUCUCUCCGAAAUAGCUUUAGGGCUAGCCUCAAGUGAUGAUUAUUGGAGGUAGAGCACUGUUUGGACGAGGGGCCCCUCUCGGGUUACCGAAUUCAGACAAACUCCGAAUGCCAAUUAAUUUAACUUGGGAGUCAGAACAUGGGUGAUAAGGUCCGUGUUCGAAAGGGAAACAGCCCAGACCACCAGCUAAGGUCCCAAAAUAUAUGUUAAGUGGAAAAGGAUGUGGCGUUGCCCAGACAACUAGGAUGUUGGCUUAGAAGCAGCCAUCAUUUAAAGAGUGCGUAAUAGCUCACUAGUCGAGUGACACUGCGCCGAAAAUGUACCGGGGCUAAACAUAUUACCGAAGCUGUGGAUUGUCCUUUGGACAAUGGUAGGAGAGCGUUCUAAGGGCGUUGAAGCAUGAUCGUAAGGACAUGUGGAGCGCUUAGAAGUGAGAAUGCCGGUGUGAGUAGCGAAAGACGGGUGAGAAUCCCGUCCACCGAUUGACUAAGGUUUCCAGAGGAAGGCUCGUCCGCUCUGGGUUAGUCGGGUCCUAAGCUGAGGCCGACAGGCGUAGGCGAUGGAUAACAGGUUGAUAUUCCUGUACCACCUAUAAUCGUUUUAAUCGAUGGGGGGACGCAGUAGGAUAGGCGAAGCGUGCGAUUGGAUUGCACGUCUAAGCAGUAAGGCUGAGUAUUAGGCAAAUCCGGUACUCGUUAAGGCUGAGCUGUGAUGGGGAGAAGACAUUGAGUCUUCGAGUCGUUGAUUUCACACUGCCGAGAAAAGCCUCUAGAUAGAAAAUAGGUGCCCGUACCGCAAACCGACACAGGUAGUCAAGAUGAGAAUUCUAAGGUGAGCGAGCGAACUCUCGUUAAGGAACUCGGCAAAAUGACCCCGUAACUUCGGGAGAAGGGGUGCUCUUUAGGGUUAACGCCCAGAAGAGCCGCAGUGAAUAGGCCCAAGCGACUGUUUAUCAAAAACACAGGUCUCUGCUAAACCGUAAGGUGAUGUAUAGGGGCUGACGCCUGCCCGGUGCUGGAAGGUUAAGAGGAGUGGUUAGCUUCUGCGAAGCUACGAAUCGAAGCCCCAGUAAACGGCGGCCGUAACUAUAACGGUCCUAAGGUAGCGAAAUUCCUUGUCGGGUAAGUUCCGACCCGCACGAAAGGCGUAACGAUUUGGGCACUGUCUCAACGAGAGACUCGGUGAAAUCAUAGUACCUGUGAAGAUGCAGGUUACCCGCGACAGGACGGAAAGACCCCGUGGAGCUUUACUGUAGCCUGAUAUUGAAAUUCGGCACAGCUUGUACAGGAUAGGUAGGAGCCUUUGAAACGUGAGCGCUAGCUUACGUGGAGGCGCUGGUGGGAUACUACCCUAGCUGUGUUGGCUUUCUAACCCGCACCACUUAUCGUGGUGGGAGACAGUGUCAAGCGGGCAGUUUGACUGGGGCGGUCGCCUCCUAAAAGGUAACGGAGGCGCUCAAAGGUUCCCUCAGAAUGGUUGGAAAUCAUUCAUAGAGUGUAAAGGCAUAAGGGAGCUUGACUGCGAGACCUACAAGUCGAGCAGGGUCGAAAGACGGACUUAGUGAUCCGGUGGUUCCGCAUGGAAGGGCCAUCGCUCAACGGAUAAAAGCUACCCCGGGGAUAACAGGCUUAUCUCCCCCAAGAGUUCACAUCGACGGGGAGGUUUGGCACCUCGAUGUCGGCUCAUCGCAUCCUGGGGCUGUAGUCGGUCCCAAGGGUUGGGCUGUUCGCCCAUUAAAGCGGUACGCGAGCUGGGUUCAGAACGUCGUGAGACAGUUCGGUCCCUAUCCGUCGUGGGCGUAGGAAAUUUGAGAGGAGCUGUCCUUAGUACGAGAGGACCGGGAUGGACAUACCUCUGGUGUACCAGUUGUCGUGCCAACGGCAUAGCUGGGUAGCUAUGUGUGGACGGGAUAAGUGCUGAAAGCAUCUAAGCAUGAAGCCCCCCUCAAGAUGAGAUUUCCCAACUUCGGUUAUAAGAUCCCUCAAAGAUGAUGAGGUUAAUAGGUUCGAGGUGGAAGCAUGGUGACAUGUGGAGCUGACGAAUACUAAUCGAUCGAAGACUUAAUCAA
rnacentral:rRNA from 1 species